GUGUCUGACGGUGAGAACAUUGAGCAGCAGAAUCAGGAGAAAUGGGACACCCGGGGUUAGAAUGUGGUGGAGGAACUCGAUUGUGACCCAGACACUGGAGAAUAGAACAGCGACUGUUACAUCACAAAACCAGGGGACGUUCCCCAGCCAAUACCGAGCCCUUCUGGCAACAAAUGGCCACAAACCGAUCAAAGGUGAAAGUGACGGUGAACCAGACAGAGCAGUCAGUGGCUGCAUAAAGCAGGACGGCGUGGAUAUUACACACGGGGACGGAGUACCUCAGGAAAUAAAACUGUUCCUUAUAAACAAUGGGAAUGUGUCUCAGGAUCAGGUCGAGGAUAAUGACCAGGAGAUCCGCCGCUGCCAUGGCCCCCAGGUAUCUGUGUUAGCUGUUUGGAAUCAGAAUUGGCUGGCCAGCAGAAGACAGCGAGUGGUAGUAGAAGGAAAAUAUUCUGCCUGGAAGUCUGUGAAUCCCUGCAGUGUGGAAACAAGCCCUUCGGCCCAACAAGUCCAUACCAACCUUCCAAAGAGUAACCUUCCCAUGGCCUUACAGUUACAACUGACUAGUGCACCUAAAGUAGAAAUCUCUGAACACUAUGGACUAUUGAAUUAUACAGCUUUGGGCUGUGGGAGGAAACGGGAGCACCCAUCAGAAGCUCACGCACACAAGGGGAGAAGAUGCAAACUCCACACAGAUAGUCGCCGAGGCUGGAAUUGAACUCAUGCCCUUGAUGCUGUGAUGGAACAGUGCGAACUACUGAGCCACUGUGCUAACCUGGAACCUCCCGCCAGCCUAAUGCAAAGGGAAUUCAGCCAAAUCCAACUCUCCCAGGAUAAAAUCCCAUUGCUAGCAGCUGUGCAAGAGCGCCCAGAGGCAUGGUACAUUGGGGAAACCGAGCAAAGACUAUGGCAACAGAUGAAUGGGCACCACACAGCAAUCAACAGACAGAAGUGUUGCCUCCCAGUUGGGACACUUCUGCGGUACAGGACAUUCGACCUCGGACCUUCGGGUGACCAUCCUCCAAGGCAGACUUCAGGACAGGCAACAGCGAAAAGUAGCCAAGCAGGGGCUGAUAGUUAAGUUCAGUACCCAUAGGGAGGGCCUCAACUGGGCCCUUGGGUUCAUCAUACUACAGGUGACCACCAUUGCACUAUAUACACACACAGACACACUUACACACACACAAGCACACAGAGUCACUCCUAUACACACACAUACACACGGACACACAUAUACACAGACACACACAGACACUCACGCACACCCUUACAGACACACACACUCCCAUACUCAGACAUGCAUCCUCUCAGAGACUGAGACCACUCUACACUCAUGCAGGCACAUAUACCCUCUCUCUCACAGACACUCGCAAACCCCCACCCCAGACACAUACACACUACCACACUCACACAUGCACCCCCUCACUGAAGUAAGACACUCUGCAAUCACUGCACACACAUGUACACUCUCUCUCACACUUACAACCCCCCCCCCCAAGCCACUCAGACAUACACACAGACAGACACAAAGACCCACAUGUGCACAUACAUUUUGUGGGGUGAAUUUGUACUUGCAGAGUUACAUUGCACUUUGCUCAAAAACAGUAAAACUCUGUUAUCUGACUUUUUAGGUUAGAAUCGAUCUAAAAUCAUGGCAUAGACAGAGAACACAGGGCGCUAACACCUUCUACAUAUUGUGUAACGAACCCAAUUGUUACAGUUAACCUGAGAAUGCAACUUUAAAAAAAAGGUUUUUUGAUUUACACACGGAAGAAGCUAAACUAUCAUGGUUUUCGAACAGAUGAAAGACUCAACAAUCAAGGUAAUUUUCAAUGUGUAGUUUCAGUUACAUCAUACUGUAAUUUUUUGCUAUAAAUGCUGUGCCUUACAAUUUUGUCCCCCACAAUCACCUGAAGAAGGUGCGGUUCUUUGAAAGCUAGUGUGCUUCCAAUUAAACCUGUUGGACUAUAA